AUCCAGCUGACUAGUCCCAAAAAGGAUUAAACGCGCAUCCUGGAU
rnacentral:hammerhead_ribozyme from 1 species